CACUUAUUCCGGUUAUAUUCGGUUUAAGUUUAUUUGUUCCCCACACCCAUUCCUGGCGGCUGUAUCCGUUUUAGAAAAUUAUCACCGGCGACUAUGAACCGCUUCGUCGUCGUUUCAGCUGCCGUCUUCCUCCUCAUCUCCGUCGCGUAUCUUCCUCUCCUCAACGAACUAUAUUGGUCAACUCUGACAUCUCUUAAACCACCGGUUAGGGUCGUGGCGGAUUUGCUAGUCACAAAUGGAACAAUCUUCACCAGCGACAAAUCUUUACCCUUUGCUGAUUCCAUGGCCAUUCGCAACGGCAGGAUUCUCAAAGUCGGAAGCUUUACCACUCUCAAGGAUUUUGUAGGAGAUGGGACUGUGGAGGUGAAUCUGGAGGGGAAGGUUGUAGUGCCUGGACUUAUUGAUUCACAUGUUCAUUUGAUUUCUGGGGGACUGCAGAUGGCUCAGGUUGGACUCAGAGGAGUGAGUCAGAAGGAAGAGUUUUGCAAAAUGGUUAAAGACGCGGUUCAGAAUGCAAAAGAGGGCUCAUGGAUUCUUGGUGGUGGAUGGAACAAUGAUUUCUGGGGAGGAGAGUUGCCUUCUGCUUCUUGGAUUGAUGAAAUCUCUCCUCAUAAUCCUGUUUGGUUGAUUAGGAUGGAUGGUCAUAUGGCUUUGGCGAAUUCCCUCACCCUUAAGAUUGCUGGUGUUACCAGUUUAACGGAAGAUCCAGUUGGUGGAACCAUAAUGAGAUUGCCUAGUGGCGAGCCUACAGGUCUUCUGAUUGAUGCUGCUAUGGAGCUUGUCACUUCCUUCGUUAAAGAAGUGUCAGUGGAUGAACGUAGGGAAGCACUUGUUAGAGCUAGCAAGUAUGCUUUGACCAGAGGCGUGACAACUGUUGUUGAUCUCGGAAGAUAUUAUCCUGGCACUACAGAUGAGCUCUCCUGGAAUGACUUUGAAGAUGUCUAUCUAUGGGCUGACUCAACGAAGAAGAUGAUGAUACGGACUUGCUUGUUUUUCCCAAUCACAACAUGGUCACGCUUAUCGGAUCUUAAGCUUCAGAAGGGACAUGUACUGAGUGAAUGGUUGUACCUAGGUGGCGUCAAAGCAUUUAUUGAUGGCUCUCUAGGUUCCAACAGUGCACUUUUCUACGAGGAAUAUAUUGACACACCUAACAAUCAUGGGUUAGAAGUGAUGGAUCCUGAGAUACUUUCAAACCUCACAAUGGCAGCAGACAAAUCAGGGCUUCAGGUUGCUAUCCAUGCUAUAGGAGACAAAGCAAAUGACAUGAUUCUUGACAUGUACAAAUCCGUUGCUGCAGCCAAUGGAGAACGGGACAGAAGAUUUAGGAUUGAGCAUGCGCAACAUUUGGCACCAGGAUCUUCGGACCGAUUUGGUCGACAUCACAUUGUAGCCUCAGUGCAGCCAGAUCAUUUGCUUGAUGAUGCUGAUACUGCUCCUAAGAAGCUCGGUUUUGAUAGAGCUGAAAAGGAGUCUUAUCUAUUUCAGUCUCUCUUAAACGGCAAUGCGCUUGUGGCUUUUGGUUCAGACUGGCCUUUUGUCUUUGUUUCAGGUGGCAGACAUUAACCCGUUGCACAGUAUCAGAACCGCGGUUAAACGCAUACCUCCCAAAUGGGAUCACGCUUGGAUCCCAUCUGAAUGCAUCUCUUUUACCAAUGCGUUGACCGCGCACACUAUAUCAGCGGCACAAGCAGCCUUUCUUGAUGAUCACUUGGGAUCUAUAUCUCCAGGGAAGCUUGCGGAUUUUGUUGUAUUGUCAACAAAUUCAUGGGACGAGUUCUCAAAAGACGGUUCUGCUUCGGUUUUGGCAACGUAUGUAGGAGGAAAGCAAGUGCAUCCAUGAGAUGAUGAGAAACCUCUAAUGACACCAUAAACAAGGUGUUUUGUAAAACUAAGUAUCUGGCAAGUUAGUUCUCUGUUUGUCGAUGAUGCCUUUUGUGAAUAUAUGCAUUGGUUCAUCAGUUACCACA